GACAGUUCUCAGAUGACACACCCUGAAUCAGGCUCCCUCCUCUCUGGUUCCGGGUGCAUAAUCAGAGAACCGCA
rfam:Myotis davidii contig54679, whole genome shotgun sequence.